AGCGAACGCUGGCGGCAGGCUUAACACAUGCAAGUCGAGCGGGCCCUUCGGGGUCAGCGGCGGACGGGCGAGUAACGCGUGGGAACGUGCCCUCUGGUCUGGAAUAUCCCUGGGAAACUAGGGCUAAUACCGGAUACGCCCUUUUGGGGAAAGGCUUGCUGCCGGAGGAUCGGCCCGCGGCUGAUUAGCUAGUUGGUGGGGUAACGGCCUACCAAGGCGACGAUCAGUAGCUGGGCUGAGAGGAUGAUCAGCCACGCCGGGACUGAGACACGGCCCAGACUCCGACGGGAGGCAGCAGGGGGGAAUAUUGGAAAAUGGGCGCAAGCCUGAGCCAGCGAUGCCGCGUGAGUGAUGAAGGCCUUAGGGUUGUAAAGCUCUUUUAUCCGGGACGAUAAUGACGGUACCGGAGGAAUAAGCCCCGGCUAACUUCGUGCCAGCCGCCGCCGUAA
rnacentral:rRNA from 1 species